rnacentral:miRNA from 1 species
UCCGAGCCCGGGUCUCCCUCU